rnacentral:rRNA from 1 species
AAAGCAUCUAAGCGCCAAGCCUAUCCCAAGAUGAGAUCUCCCUGAAGGGUCGUGGUAGACCACCACGUUGAUAGGUCUCCGGUGCAAGUGCAGUAAUGUAUUCAGCUGAGAGAUACUAAUAACCCGUUCGGCUUGAUCAUUUA